AGAGUGACUUCUCAAAGGCCACUAGAAGGAGUUCAGAGACUAGAGGUUGGUAAACAGCAUCCCUCUGUCCUCCUCGGAGCAAAUGGAGCUGUGUUCCGAACCCUAGCGCCAGGAGCUUGAGACCAUGUGCCAGCCCAUCGCACCAGAGUCUGGCCCAUCCUCAUCGCUGUGGCCACUGGUGCCCAACACUGAGAAAGAGUCUGAACGUGAAGAACUGAACCCCAGCCUCCGGUGGGAGACAGCAGCUCAAUGGCCUUCACCCCCAGGAGCCCUCCUGCUGUGUCUUCAGACAUUUCUGGAUUGGAAUGCUUAGAGCCGGCCAAUUUGACUCCAGGCUCUGCCUCGUUCUGCUGUUUGACUUUGGAUAAGCAACUUUCUCUUUCAUAAAAUUAGGAAUAAUAUAAAUUCUACCACUUAGAGCUAAUGAUUAAAUGAGCUACCAUGUGUGCAAUGUAACAGGGCACCAUAUUGGGCACAUGGAAAGCAGGCCGCAGGGGUAGUUAGCCUCCCAGAGGAUAUUACUAGGGUUUUACUUACAUGAAACUGCAAAACCUAUAUUUUCUUCCCCAAGUUGGAGAAGAUGCUUUUCCAUUUAAACCCAAAAGAUCCAGAGACUUGACAAUUUACAGUGUGCCCUGUACUCCACAUGAUGGUCGAUAAGAGGAUUCCAGCCUCUGUGUGAAGAGCUCAGCUAGACCCCAAAAACCAGCGUAGUUUGUUCUUUGAGUUCAAGAGUGAACGACAUCACUGCUCCAUUUUGGGGAACCAAAUGCCGAAGUCACAGAGGAUGCUUUGCAGUUUCCCCACACAUACCCAGUGCAUUUCCUGCAAGCUGGUAUUGCAACCCCAAGCAAAUCAAAAGUCCAGCAACACUUUUUUAAAAUAUCAUCUACGUAAAGAACAGCAUGCUCUGGUUACAGGGCCAUGAAGAGUUGGGGGAAGGACUUUCAUAAAAUAUCCGGGGCUGGAUAUGAGGAGGGAGGCAGUGCAGGUGGGGGACUGACCGCUGAGCUGGGAGGUCGGAAAGCCUGAGUCCCGGACCCAGCCCCUCCGCAUAAUAACUGUGAUCUCAGGCACAGCCGUCAACGUCUCUGGGCCCGUGUGCUCAGGUGUGCACUGCAGGGAACGGGCUAAAUCGUCCCCAAGGCGCCUUCAAGUCUGAGGUUCUGGCUACAGAGAAGAAAGAGGACGUAAAGACAUGCGAGGUAAAGAACGGAGCAGCACUGCAGCCCAAAUCCAGAGACGGCCAGGUGAGAGCAAAGCGGUCAUUGACCGAGCAGAGAGGACAAACGCCCGCUUUUCCCAACUAGGUUUAAGAGUUUUACAUCCUUAAUGUACUGUACGGUGACUAACAUAAUAUAAUAAAAAAAUAUUUAAAAAAAAAGAGUUUUACA
rnacentral:lncRNA from 1 species